rnacentral:lncRNA from 1 species
ACAGCCUGUGAUGUUGCUCUAAAAGAUCCUCUGCUACUUCCUGGCGGAUCCCUAACUGGCAGCCUGUGUUCUUGGCCACAGAUGUGGAGUGCACAGAACAACUUAAAGGAAUAACACUUGUUGCCUGGUGCCUUGCCUCCGGAGCGAGAACAGCAGGCGUUUCAUCAGGGAACAACAAAACAUCCUGAAGGAUUCUCAAAGGAAGGUCAUCCCAGGUCUUGCAACAUUUGCUCUCAUGUUUUCUCCACUGGGUCAAAAUGCUAAAGCAGAAUUCCUAGUUCUAAUAUUAUAUAAGCCAUAAUCUGUCUGUCCAUAACUCUUU